rnacentral:rRNA from 1 species
GACGAACGCUGGCGGCGCGCCUAACACAUGCAAGUCGAACGGAGCUGGGAGGAGCUUGCUUUUCUUAGCUUAGUGGCGAACGGGUGAGUAACGCGUGAGUAACCUGCCCUGGAGUGGGGGACAACAGUUGGAAACGACUGCUAAUACCGCAUAAGCCCACGAUCCGGCAUCGGAUUGAGGGAAAAGGAUUUAUUCGCUUCAGGAUGGACUCGCGUCCAAUUAGCUAGUUGGUGAGGUAACGGCCCACCAAGGCGACGAUUGGUAGCCGGACUGAGAGGUUGAACGGCCACAUUGGGACUGAGACACGGCCCAGACUCCUACGGGAGGCAGCAGUGGGGGAUAUUGCACAAUGGGGGAAACCCUGAUGCAGCGACGCCGCGUGGAGGAAGAAGGUUUUCGGAUUGUAAACUCCUGUCGUUAGGGACGAUAAUGACGGUACCUAACAAGAAAGCAC